UACGAAGGGGGCUAGCGUUGUUCGGAAUCACUGGGCGUAAAGGGCGCGUAGGCGGCUUUAUAAGUCGGUGGUGAAAUCCUGGAGCUCAACUCCAGAACUGCCUCCGAUACUGAGAGUCUUCGAGUCCGGGAGAGGUGAGUGGAACUGCGAGUGUAGAGGUGAAAUUCGUAGAUAUUCGCAAGAACACCAGUGGCGAAGGCGGCUCACUGGCCCGGUACUGACGCUGAGGUGCGAAAGCGUGGGGAGCAAACAGG
rnacentral:rRNA from 1 species